AGGAUUAUAGUUUAUUAAAACAUUUAACUUGCAAUUAAAAAAUAUUAAUUAAUUUAAUUUA
rnacentral:tRNA from 1 species